rnacentral:tRNA from 1 species
UCGCGCGUCGGCCAACGGUAGGCCAACGGACUCUGGCUCCGUGAAUGGAGGUUCGAAUCCUUCCCCGCGAA